GACGUAGGUGGCGAACGUUAUCCGGAAUUAUUGGGCGUAAAGGGUGCGUAGGUGGCCUGGCAAGUUAUUAGUGGUAAAUCGAGGCUCAACCUCGUGGAAACUAGUAAUACUGUUCGGCUUGAGUGCAGGAGAGGUUAACGGAACUCUAUGUGGAGGGGUAAAAUCCAUAGAUAUAUGGAUGAACAUCAAUAACGGCGAAGGCAGUUAACUAUUCUGUUACUGACACUGAGGCACGAAAGCGUGGGGAGCAAACAGG
rnacentral:rRNA from 1 species